rnacentral:rRNA from 1 species
UUAUGGCUCAGGAUGAACGCUGGCGGCGUGCUAACACAUGCAAGUCGAACGAAGCUCUUGGAGCGGAGGCUCGGCCAAAGUGAAGAGAUGACUUAGUGGCGGACGGGUGAGUAACGCGUGGGUAACCUGCCGUAUGCAGGGGGACAACAGCUGGAAACGGCUGCUAAUACCGCAUAAGCGCACGUGAAGGCAUCUUCAAGUGUGAAAAGAUUUAUCGGCAUACGAUGGACCCGCGUCUGAUUAGGCAGUUGGCAGGGUAACGGCCUACCAAACCGACGAUCAGUAGCCGGCCUGAGAGGGUGAACGGCCACAUUGGGACUGAGACACGGCCCAAACUCCUACGGGAGGCAGCAGUGGGGAAUAUUGCACAAUGGGGGAAACCCUGAUGCAGCGACGCCGCGUGAGUGAAGAAGUAUUUCGGUAUGUAAAGCUCUAUCAGCAGGGAAGAAAAUGACGGUACCUGACUAAGAAGCCCCGGCUAACUACGUGCCAGCCGCCGC